CUUGGUCAUUUAGAGGAAGUAAAAGUCGUAACAAGGUCUCCGUAGGUGAACCUGCGGAGGGAUCAUUACAGAGUUCAUGCCCUUCGGGGUAGAUCUCCCACCCUAUGUAUUUAUACCUUUGUUGCUUUGGUAGGCCGUCAUACUUCGGUCUGACCACCGGCUUCGGCUGGUGCGUGUCUGCCAGAGGACCCCAAACUCUGAAUGUUAGUGUCGUCUGAGUACUAUAUAAUAGUUAAAACUUUCAACAACGGAUCUCUUGGUUCUGGCAUCGAUGAAGAACGCAGCGAAAUGCGAUAAGUAAUGUGAAUUGCAGAAUUCAGUGAAUCAUCGAAUCUUUGAACGCACAUUGCGCCCUCUGGUAUUCCGGAGGGCAUGCCUGUUCGAGCGUCAUUACAACCCUCAAGCUCUGCUUGGUAUUGGGCUUCAGGCGUCAGCCUGUGCCUUAAAGUCAGUGGCGGUGCCAUCUGGCUCUAAGCGUAGUAAAUCUCUCGCUAUAGAUGUCUGGUGGAUGCUUGCCAUAACCCCCAAUUUUUACAGGUUGACCUCGGAUCAGGUAGGGAUACCCGCUGAACUUAAGCAUAUCAAUAAGCGGAGGAAAAGAAACCAACAGGGAUUACCUCAGUAACGGCGAGUGAAGCGGUAACAGCUCAAAUUUGAAAUCUGGGUCUUUUAGGCUCCGAGUUGUAAUUUGUAGAAGAUGCUUCGAGUGUGGCUCCGGUCUAAGUUCCUUGGAACAGGACGUCAUAGAGGGUGAGAAUCCCGUAUGUGAUCGGUUGCCUAUGCUCAUGUGAAGCUCUUUCGACGAGUCGAGUUGUUUGGGAAUGCAGCUCAAAAUGGGUGGUAAAUUUCAUCUAAAGCUAAAUAUUGGCCAGAGACCGAUAGCGCACAAGUAGAGUGAUCGAAAGAUGAAAAGCACUUUGGAAAGAGAGUUAAACAGUACGUGAAAUUGUUGAAAGGGAAGCGCUUGCAACCAGACUUGCGCGUUGUUGAUCAUCCGAGGUUUUCCCCGGUGCACUCGAUUUCGCUCAGGCCAGCAUCGGUUUCAGUGGUUGGAUAAAGGCCUUGGGAAUGUGGCUCCCUUCGGGGAGUGUUAUAGCCCUCGGUGCAAUGCAGCCUACUGGGACCGAGGACCGCGCUUCGGCUAGGAUGCUGGCGUAAUGGUUGUAAGCGACCCGUCUUGAAACACGGACC
rnacentral:rRNA from 1 species